UUAGAAAAUGUACUCAUCAGAUGGGUCGUUUUUUUUUUAAAAACGACCCAUCUGAUGAGUACAUUUUCUAAAUC